UACGUAGGGGGCAAGCGUUGUCCGGAUUUAUUGGGCGUAAAGAGCUCGUAGGUGGUUCGGUAAGUCGGAUGUGAAAUCUCCAGGCUCAACCUGGAGGGGUCAUUCGAUACUGCCGUGACUAGAGUUCGGUAGGGGAGUGUGGAAUUCCUGGUGGAGCGGUGAAAUGCUUAGAUAUGACACAGAACACCGAUUGCGAAGGCAGCUCGCUAAACUAAUAUUGACGCUGAGGCACGAAAGCGUGGGGAUCAAACAGG
rnacentral:rRNA from 1 species